AUAAUAUUCUGUUUGUAACUUAAAUUAUAGCAAUAGGUAGAUGGAGGUGCAAAAACAUCAAAGCAAGAUUUUAACGCGCGUUGAACGUGGUUCUUGCUGGGUGGUGUCUUUGUUUUAUAGGUUUCUAGUCCCUUAUGGUGAUUUGGUGCUUGGCUAGGUUUGAAGUUCCACUUGUAAUACGGAAAUCUGGCAGUUCUGCUUCUAGGAACUGGUCAAUAUUAUCUUCUCGUUGCCGUCUUGAAGAAAUGCCACUGACAUACUUUC